rnacentral:rRNA from 1 species
CAGCAGCCGCGGGAAUACAGAGGGUGCAAGCGUUAAUCGGAUUUACUGGGCGUAAAGGGCGCGUAGGUGGUUAUUUAAGUGAGAUGUGAAAGCCCCGGGCUUAACCUGGGAACUGCAUCUUAUACUGGGUAACUGGAGUGCAGUAGAGGGUAGUGGAAUUUCCGGUGUAGCGGUGAAAUGCGUAGAUAUCGGAAGGAACACCAGUGGCGAAGGCGGCUACCUGGACUGAGACUGACACUGAGGCGCGAGAGCGUGGGGAGCAAACAGGAUUAGAUACCCGUGUAGUCCCUGUCUCUUAUAC